rnacentral:rRNA from 1 species
CCUACGGGUGGCAGCAGUGAGGAAUAUUGGUCAAUGGACGAGAGUCUGAACCAGCCAAGUAGCGUGAAGGAUGAAUGCCCUAUGGGUUGUAAACUUCUUUUAUAUGGGAAUAAAAUGUUCCACGUGUGGGAUUUUGUAUGUACCAUAUGAAUAAGGAUCGGCUAACUCCGUGCCAGCAGCCGUGGUAAUACGGAGGAUCCGAGCGUUAUCCGGAUUUAUUGGGUUUAACGGGAGCGUAGGUGGAUUGUUAAGUCAGUUGUGAAAGUUUGCGGCUCAACCGUAAAAUUGCAGUUGAAACUGGCAGUCUUGAGUACAGUAGAGGUGGGCGGAAUUCGUGGUGUAGCGGUGAAAUGCUUAGAUAUCACGAAGAACUCCGAUUGCGAAGGCAGUUCACUGGACUGCAACUGACACUGAGGCUCGAAAGUGUGGGUAUCAAACAGGAUUAGAUACCCCAGUAGUC